GAUGAACGCUAGCGAUAGGCCUAACACAUGCAAGUCGAGGGGCAUCACAUGAAGUAGCAAUACGGAUGGUGGCGACCGGCGCACGGGUGAGUAACACGUAUGCAACCUGCCUUCAACAAGGGGAUAACCCGUUGAAAGACGGACUAAUACCCUAUAACACAGGGGUCCCGCAUGGGAAUAUUUGUUAAAGGACAACCGGUUGAAGAUGGGCAUGCGUUCCAUUAGCUAGUUGGCGGGGUAACGGCCCACCAAGGCAACGAUGGAUAGGGGAACUGAGAGGUUUAUCCCCCACACUGGUACUGAGACACGGACCAGACUCCUACGGGAGGCAGCAGUGAGGAAUAUUGGUCAAUGGACGCAAGUCUGAACCAGCCACGUCGCGUGAAGGAAGACGGCCCUACGGGUUGUAAACUUCUUUUAUACGGGAAUAAAGUGCCCCACGCGUGGGGUUUUGCAUGUACCGUAUGAAUAAGGAUCGGCU
rnacentral:rRNA from 1 species